rnacentral:rRNA from 1 species
UACAGAGGUCUCAAGCGUUUGUUCGGAUUCAUUGGGCGUAAAGGGUGCGUAGGCGGCGCGGUAAGUCGGGUGUGAAAUCUUGGAGCUUAACUCCGAAACUGCAUUCGAUACUGCCGUGCUUGAGGACUGGAGAGGAGACUGGAAUUUACGGUGUAGCGGUGAAAUGCGUAGAUAUCGUAAGGAAGACCAGUGGCGAAGGCGGGUCUCUGGACAGUUCCUGACGCUGAGGCACGAAGGCCAGGGAGCAAACGGG